CGUAGGGUGCGAGCGUUAAUCGGAAUUACUGGGCGUAAAGCGUGCGCAGGCGGUUUGUAAGACAGGCGUGAAAUCCCCGGGCUCAACCUGGGAACUGCGCUUGUGACUGCAAGGCUAGAGUACGGCAGAGGGGGUGGAAUUCCACGUGUAGCAGUGAAAUGCGUAGAGAUGUGGAGGAACACCAAUGGCGAAGGCAGCCCCCUGGGUCGAUACUGACGCUCAUGCACGAAAGCGUGGGUAGCAAACAGGAUUAGAUACCCUGGUAGUCCACGCCCUAAACGAUGUCAACUAGGUGUUGGGUGGGUAAAACCACUUAGUACCGGAGCUAACGCGUGAAGUUGACCGCCUGGGGAGUACGGCCGCAAGGUUA
rnacentral:rRNA from 1 species